CGAACGGGUGAGUAAUACAUCGGAACGUGUCCGCGUCGUGGGGGACGAACCAGCCGAAAGGUUGGCUAAUACCGCAUGAGUUCUACGGAAGAAAGAGGGGGACCCGCAAGGGCCUCUCGCGAGCGGAGCGGCCGAUGACUGAUUAGCCGGUUGGUGAGGUAACGGCUCACCAAANCAACGAUCAGUAGCUGGUCUNAGAGGACGACCAGCCACACUGGGACUGAGACACGGCCCAGACUCCUACGGGAGGCAGCAG
rnacentral:rRNA from 1 species